GAUGAACGCUGGCGGCGUGCCUAAUACAUGCAAGUCGAGCGAACAGACGAGGAGCUUGCUCCUCUGACGUUAGCGGCGGACGGGUGAGUAACACGUGGAUAACCUACCUAUAAGACUGGGAUAACUUCGGGAAACCGGAGCUAAUACCGUAUAAUAUAUUGAACCGCAUGGUUCAAUAGUGAAAGACGGUUUUGCUGUCACUUAUAGAUGGAUCCGCGCCGCAUUAGCUAGUUGUUAAGGUAACGGCUUACCAAGGCAACGAUGCGUAGCCGAACUGAGAGGGUGAUCGGCCACACUGGAACUGAGACACGGUCCAGACUCCUACGGGAGGCAGCAGUAGGGAAUCUUCCGCAAUGGGCGAAAGCUUGACGGAGCAACGCCGCGUGAGUGAUGAAGGUCUUCGGAUCGUAAAACUCUGUUAUUAGGGAAGAACAAAUGUGUAAGUAAAUAUGCACGUCUUGACGGUACCUAAUCAGAAAGCCACGGCUAACUACGUG
rnacentral:rRNA from 1 species